GGGGAGCCGGCCACCUGGCCCGUCCCUGACGCUGAGGCGCGAAAGCGUGGGGAGCGAACCGGAUUAGAUACCCGGGUAGUCCACGCCCUAAACGAUGCGCACUAGGUAUAGGGGGCUGACCACGCUCUCCGUGCCGAAGCUAACGCGUUAAGUGCGCCGCCUGGGUAGUACGGCCGCAAGGCUGAAACUCAAAGGAAUUGGCGGGGGCCCGCACAAGCAGCGGAGCGUGUGGUUUAAUUCGAUGCAAAACGAAGAACCUUACCCGGGCUUGACAUGCCGGUGGUACCGACCCGAAAGGGAAGGGACCCCGCAAGGGGAGCCGGCACAGGUGCUGCAUGGCUGUCGUCAGCUCGUGCCGUGAGGUGUCGGGUUAAGUCCCGCAACGAGCGCAACCCCUGCCCCUAGUUACACGUGUCUAGGGGGACUGCCGGCGACAAGCCGGAGGAAGGUGGGGAUGACGUCAAGUCAGCAUGGCCUUGAUGCCCGGGGCUACACACACGCUACAAUGCCCGGUACAAUGGGUUGCCAACCCGCGAGGGGGAGCCAAUCCCAUCAAAGCCGGGCUCAGUUGGGAUUGCAGGCUGCAACCCGCCUGCAUGAACGCGGAGUUGCUAGUAACCGCCGGUCAGCCAUACGGCGGUGAAUACGUUCCCGGGCCUUGCACACACCGCCCGUCACGUCAUGGGAGUCGGCAACGCCUGAAGCCGGUGGCCCAACCCUCCCCCUCCCAGGGCCUCUC
rnacentral:rRNA from 1 species